UACAGAGGUGGCAAGCGUUGUUCGGAAUUACUGGGCGUAAAGGGCGCGUAGGCGGCCCGUCAAGUCCCGUGUGAAAGCCCCCGGCUCAACUGGGGAACUGCACGGGAAACUAGCAGGCUUGAGUUCGGGAGAGGGAAGCGGAAUUUCGGGUGUAGCGGUGAAAUGCGCAGAUAUCCGAAGGAACACCGGUGGCGAAGGCGGCUUCCUGGACCGACACUGACGCUGAGGCGCGAAAGCUAGGGGAGCAAACGGG
rnacentral:rRNA from 1 species